AUGAAAGGAGACGGGCAAGCGAUCGGCAUCAAUCUCGGCGAAACCUACUCAUGUGUCGGAGUCUGGCGGGGUGGUCGUGUGGAGAUUGUCGCCAACAGCCAAGGCAACCGCACCACGCCGUCCUUUGUCGCCUUCACCGACACACAGAGGCUCGUCGGCGAGGCGGCCAAAAAUCAGCUAAGAAGAAACACAUCCAACACCGUCUAUGAUGUAAACCGGCUCAUUGCCCGGAGUUUCUAUGACGUGUCCUUGGAGAGCGAUGCCAAGCAUUGGCCAUUUCAGACGAUCGAAGGCCCCCACGGCAAGGCCAUGAUUAGGGUGCGUUACCUUGGCAAGCACAAGGACUUCUCGCCGGAGGAGAUCUUGGCCAUGGUGCUUGGCAAGAUGAAGGAGACAGCUGAGGACUACCUUGGGACAACCAUCAAGAAGGCUGUCAUCACCGUCCCGGCCUACUUCAACGGCUCCCAACGCCGGGCCACCCAGGAUGCUGGCGUCCUCGCUGGCCUCAAUGUCAUGCGCAUCAUCAACGAACCUACCGCGACGGCCAUGGCUUACAACCAAGAUGGGAGGUGGAGCAACACCCAAGAGAGCAAUGUGCUCAUCUAUGACUUGGGCGGUCGAACGCUCGACGUCUCGCUUGUGGUUAUCAAGGAAAGUAUAUUGGAGGUCAAGGCUAGCGCCCGCGACACUCACCUAGGAGGCGAGGAUUUCACCAACCGCAUGGUUGACCAUUUCGUCAGGGAAUUUAAGAAGAAGAACCAGAGGGAUAUCAGCGGCGACAAGAGGGCUCUCCGGCGCCUCAGAGACUCGUGCGAGAGUGCCAAGAGGAAGCUCUCCUCCGCGACCCAGGCCGACGUCAUGGUGGAUGCCCUUUUUGAGGGCAUCGACAUGCAAUCCAUCAUCAAUCGUGCCCUGUUCGAGCAGCUCACCAAGGACCUGCUGGGGAAAUGUAUGGCAACCGUCGAGAUGUGCUUGAUGGAUGCCAAGAUGGACAGGACCAAAGUGGACGAUGUUGUGCUCGUCGGAGGAUGUGGACGGGAAAUCCAUGCAGUGCGCCAGAUCCUCAAGUGGUUCUUCUACGAAAAGGAGCCCUGCAUGGAAAUCAGGCCGGACGAGGCCGUGGCAUACGGAGCCACCGUCCAGGCCGCCAUCCUCACGGGCGAGAUCCUCCUGCAUCAGAUGGAGGUCACACCGCUCUCGUUGGGCAUAGAACUCCAUGAGACUGGUCAGAACACCAGUUUAACCAUCAGGGAUGACAUGGGACGUUGCAGCAUGGAUGAAGUGGAGAACCACAAGUACAAAGCCGUUGAUGAAGAGCACAAGAAGAAGACAUUCGUUGAUCCAAAGUGGACCAAGGAGUCCGUGCCAAGGUUCUUGGCCAUGAAAGGAGACGGGCAAGCGAUCGGCAUCAAUCUCAGCGAAACCUACUCAUGUGUCGGAGUCUGGCGGGGUGGUCGUGUGGAGAUUGUCGCCAACAGCCAAGGCAACCGCACGACGCCGUCCUUUGUCGCCUUCACCGACACCGAGAGGCUCGUCGGGGAGGCGGCCCAAAAUCAGCUCAGAAGAAACACAUCCAACACAGUCUAUGAUGUAAACCGGCUCAUUGCCCGGAGUUUCUAUGACGUGUCCGUGGAGAGCUAUGCCAAGCAUUGGCCAUUUAAGACGAUCAAAGGCCCCCAUGGCAAGGCCAUGAUUAGGGUGCGUUACCUUGGCAAGCACAAGGACUUCUCGCCGGAGGAGAUCUUGGCCAUGGUGCUUGGCAAGAUGAAGGAGACAGCUGAGGACUACCUUGGGACAACCAUCAAGAAGGCUGUCAUCACCGUCCCGGCCUACUUCAACGGCUCCCAACGCCGGGCCACCCAGGAUGCUGGCGUCCUCGCUGGCCUCAAUGUCAUGCGCAUCAUCAACGAACCUACCGCGGCGGCCAUGGCUUACAACCAAGAUGGGAGGUGGAGCAACACCCAAGAGAGCAAUGUGCUCAUCUAUGACUUGGGCGGUCGAACGCUCGACGUCUCGCUUGUGGUUAUCAAGGAAAGUAUAUUGGAGGUCAAGGCUAGCGCCCGCGACACUCACCUAGGAGGCGAGGAUUUCACCAACCGCAUGGUUGACCAUUUCGUCAGGGAAUUUAAGAAGAAGAACCAGAGGGAUAUCAGCGGCGACAAGAGGGCUCUCCGGCGCCUCAGAGACUCGUGCGAGAGUGCCAAGAGGAAGCUCUCCUCCGCGACCCAGGCCGACGUCAUGGUGGAUGCCCUUUUUGAGGGCAUCGACAUGCAAUCCAUCAUCAAUCGUGCCCUGUUCGAGCAGCUCACCAAGGACCUGCUGGGGAAAUGUAUGGCAACCGUCGAGAUGUGCUUGAUGGAUGCCAAGAUGGACAGGACCAAAGUGGACGAUGUUGUGCUCGUCGGAGGAUGUGGACGGGAAAUCCAUGCAGUGCGCCAGAUCCUCAAGUGGUUCUUCUACGAAAAGGAGCCCUGCAUGGAAAUCAGGCCGGACGAGGCCGUGGCAUACGGAGCCACCGUCCAGGCCGCCAUCCUCACGGGCGAGAUCCUCCUGCAUCAGAUGGAGGUCACACCGCUCUCGUUGGGCAUAGAACUCCAUGAGACUGGUCAGAACACCAGUUUAACCAUCAGGGAUGACAUGGGACGUUGCAGCAUGGAUGAAGUGGAGAACCACAAGUACAAAGCCGUUGAUGAAGAGCACAAGAAGAAGACAUUCGUUGAUCCAAAGUGGACCAAGGAGUCCGUGCCAAGGUCCGAGAUGAGGAACGGUGACCACCAAGACUGCGAAAAACUUGAUGCCCUGGACAAGGCCUUGCUCGACGAAAGCGUGGAUCCAGUCGAUCUACCUUUCUCGCUCCUCAAGUUAGUCACGCAGGAUUUCUCUGAAGCUCGAGAAAUCGGCAGGGGCGGGUUUGGAGCGGUCUACAAGGGAGUGCUUCCAAGUGGUAGCACCGUUGCCGUGAAGAAGCUCUUCGAGAGCUUCCAGAUCCUGGACAAGAAUUUCCGGAGCGAGAUCGCCUGUCUCAUGGGGGUCAAGCACAAGAAUAUCGUACGGUUUGUUGGAUACUGCUCUGAUACGCAGCACGUGAUCAGGCCGUACGACGGGAAGCUUGUCUGGGCAGAGGUGCGGCAAAGGCUUCUCUGUUACGAGUACCUGCACAAAGGGUGCCUUGCUGACUAUCUCUCUGAUGCAUCUUGUCGACCUAUGUGGACCAUAGAUUAUCAAAUAAUUAAGGGGAUCUGUGAGGGUGUACAUUAUCUUCAUCAACAUCGUAUUAUUCACAUGGAUCUCAAGCCUCAGAACAUACUAUUGGAUGAUAACAUCGUGCCAAGACUUAUUGAUUUCGGUCUAUCACGGCGCUUAGAUGAAAGCAAGAGUCGGGCUAUUACUAUAAGCACGGUUGGGACGAGGGGAUAUAUGGCACCGGAAUUCAUAGAUGACGGAGAAAUUACCUUCAAAACAGACAUAUAUAGUUUGGGCAUCAUAAUUAUGGAGAUCCUUACGAGACGUAAGAAGCGCUCCAAUUUGAAGGAGGUAGUUGAAUGUUGGAUGAACAAGUUCGGGGCAUCAGAGAGCCAGACAACACUGAACCAAGUAAAAGUAUGUGCUGAGAUAGGAAUAAAAUGCACAAACCAUGACCCGUUGAACAGGCCUGAUACAUUGUCUAUCAUCCAUGAAUUUCAAAUUUGCAGCAAUGAGUUGAAGCUGAAGAAUGAUUCUGCUGCACCGUCCCAAUUAUAG
rnacentral:rRNA from 1 species